GCGGCGGACGGGUGAGUAAUGCCUAGGAAUCUGCCUAGUGGUGGGGGAUAACGUUCGGAAACGGACGCUAAUACCGCAUACGUCCUACGGGAGAAAGCGGGGGAUCUUCGGACCUCGCGCCAUUAGAUGAGCCUAGGUCGGAUUAGCUAGUUGGUGAGGUAAUGGCUCACCAAGGCGACGAUCCGUAACUGGUCUGAGAGGAUGAUCAGUCACACUGGAACUGAGACACGGUCCAGACUCCUACGGGAGGCAGCAGUGGGGAAUAUUGGACAAUGGGCGAAAGCCUGAUCCAGCCAUGCCGCGUGUGUGAAGAAGGUCUUCGGAUUGUAAAGCACUUUAAGUUGGGAGGAAGGGUUGUAGAUUAAUACUCUGCAAUUUUGACGUUACCGACAGAAUAAAGCACCGGCUAACUUCGUGCCAGCAGCCGCGGUAAUACGAAGGGUGCAAGCGUUAAAUCGGAAUUACUGGGCGUAAAGCGCGCGUAGGUGGUUUCGUUAAGUUGGAUGUGAAAGCCCCGGGCUCAACCUGGGAACUGCAUCCAAAACUGGCGAGCUAGAGUACGGUAGAGGGUAGUGGAAUUUCCUGUGUAGCGGUGAAAUGCGUAGAUAUAGGAAGGAACACCAGUGGCGAAGGCGACUACCUGGACUGAUACUGACACUGAGGUGCGAAAGCGUGGGGAGCAAACAGGAUUAGAUACCCUGGUAGUCCACGCCGUAAACGAUGUCAACUAGCCGUUGGAAUCCUUGAGAUUUUAGUGGCGCAGCUAACGCAUUAAGUUGACCGCCUGGGGAGUACGGCCGCGAGGUUAAAACUCAAAUGAAUUGACGGGGGCCCGCACAAGCGGUGGGAGCAUGUGGUUUAAUUCGAAGCAACGCGAAGAACCUUACCUGGCCUUGACAUGCUGAGAACUUUCCAGGAGAUGGAUUGUUGCCUUCGGGGACUCAGACCACAGUGCUGCAUGGGCUGUCGUCAGCUCGGUGUUCGUGAGAUGUUGGGUUAAGUC
rnacentral:rRNA from 1 species